rnacentral:tRNA from 1 species
GGCCUGAUACUGUAGCUCAACUGGUAGAGCACUGCACUGGCAGUGCAGGGAUCAGGAUUCAAGUCUCGUUCAGGCCU